rnacentral:rRNA from 1 species
GUUUGAUCCUGGCUCAGGACGAACGCUGGCGGCGUGCCUAAUACUGCAAGUCGAGCGGACAGAUGGGAGCUUGCUCCCUGAUGUUAGCGGCGGACGGGUGAGUAACACGUGGGUAACCUGCCUGUAAGACUGGGAUAACUCCGGGAAACCGGGGCUAAUACCGGAUGCUUGUUUGAACCGCAUGGUUCAAACAUAAAAGGUGGCUUCGGCUACCACUUACAGAUGGACCCGCGGCGCAUUAGCUAGUUGGUGAGGUAACGGCUCACCAAGGCAACGAUGCGUAGCCGACCUGAGAGGGUGAUCGGCCACACUGGGACUGAGACACGGCCCAGACUCCUACGGGAGGCAGCAGUAGGGAAUCUUCCGCAAUGGACGAAAGUCUGACGGAGCAACGCCGCGUGAGUGAUGAAGGUUUUCGGAUCGUAAAGCUCUGUUGUUAGGGAAGAACAAGUACCGUUCGAAUAGGGCGGUACCUUGACGGUACCUAACCAGAAAGCCACGGCUAACUACGUGCCAGCAGCCGCGGUAAUACGUAGGUGGCAAGCGUUGUCCGGAAUUAUUGGGCGUAAAGGGCUCGCAGGCGGUUCCUUAAGUCUGAUGUGAAAGCCCCCGGCUCAACCGGGGAGGGUCAUUGGAAACUGGGGAACUUGAGUGCAGAAGAGGAGAGUGGAAUUCCACGUGUAGCGGUGAAAUGCGUAGAGAUGUGGAGGAACACCAGUGGCGAAGGCGACUCUCUGGUCUGUAACGACG